GAUUCACCCACGCGAGAGCAGCGUUGGAUGCGGAGGAGAAGGCGGCUUUAGAGCAAGCGGAGCAGAAAGGGCGCGAGCUGCUGACCCAGAUCGAGAAGAAGAUCACUCACUACCAGCGCGAGAUCAGCGAGCUCCAGGCAGCAGCCACCCGCCUGCAGGCCCUAGCGCAGGAGAGGGACUCGCUCGCGUUCCUGCAGGGGCACCUGGAGGAGACGUGCAGGGCAGGGAGGGUUACAGCAGCUCCACCCUCAUCUCCCAACCAAGAGGACAUUGCCUCACUUAAAGUCCUGGAGACAAGGGGAGUCAAACUCCUGUGUGAGUUAUUCAGUGUGAAUCAUGGGUGAUGGGACUAUCUUGACAAUAAAUGAUCCCCGUGUGUGUACCUGGUGUUUUAUAAACAUCAUCACUAGGGAGACAAAUGCGACCAGGCGUAGUGCUGGCCACCCACCCCCUCGUUUUCCGUGCCAGCCUUCAACGGUGCUGAUUUGCCCCAACAGUCUGUAAAGGCAACACGGGGGAUGUCUUUGUUUACAUCCUGAGACCUGAUGUGGUGUGUAAACAAAAUCACCA